AUGAAUUGUAUGAGUUGGAACUAUCGGGGGCUUGGGAACCCAUCGACAGUUCGAGAGAUUCGCAAGAUUGUGAAGCAGGAAGGACCCUCCCUUUUGUUUAUUAUGGAAACAAAGAUAAAAGGGACCAAAGUUGAGAGUCUGAAGAACCUCCUUGGUUUUUCGGGGUGUUUUGCUGUUGAUAGCAACGGCCUUAGUGGUGGCAUUGGUUUGUUCUGUACAGAUAAUGUAACAGCUGAACUGAAAAACUAUAGCCGCGCACACAUUGAUGUAAGUGUCAAUUCAAGUGAUCAGCAGCAAUCUUGGCGCUUCACGGGUUUUUACGGAGAACCUCGAACUGAAAAUAGAUAUCUUAGUUGGGAGUUCUUGAGUACUUUGUAUGGUAUUCCACAUUCUGGUUGGCUCUGUAUGGGAGAUUUCAAUGAAAUUAUGUAUGCUGAUGAGCAUUUCAGCAUCCAUCCAAGGCCGGAGUGGCAAAUGCGAGGUUUCCGGGAGGUCUUGGAUAAUUGCUCCUUUCAAGACCUUGGCUGGAGAGGUGUUCCUUUUACAUGGGACAAUAAACAGCAGGGAAAUUCCAAUGUAAAAGCACGACUCAAUCGUGUUGUUGGUAAUGCAGAUUUUCUUUCCUUGUUCGUGUAUUCUUCUGUGAAACAUAUCAGCUGA
rnacentral:rRNA from 1 species